rnacentral:misc_RNA from 1 species
UGUGUGCAUGCGGCGGAUGA